rnacentral:rRNA from 1 species
AACGAACGCUGGCGGCAGGCCUAAUACAUGCAAGUUGAACGUGAUCAAUACUUCGGUAUUGUGAAAGUAGCGCACGGGUGAGUAACACGUGGGAAUUUACACUUCAGUACGGAACAACAGUUGGAAACGACUGCUAAUACCGUAUAAUGACUCCGGUCCAAAGAUUUAUCGCUGAAGGAUAAGCCCGCGUCUGAUUAGCUAGUUGGUAGGGUAAAGGCCUACCAAGGCGACGAUCAGUAGCUGGUUUGAGAGGAUGAUCAGCCACACUGGGACUGAGACACGGCCCAG